rfam:Candidatus Omnitrophica bacterium CG1_02_41_171 cg1_0.2_scaffold_17411_c, whole genome shotgun sequence.
GCGCCCAUGGCUCAAUUGGAUAGAGCGACAGGUUGCGGACCUGUAGGUUGGCGGUUCAAGUCCGCCUGGGCGUG